GCGGCUGUGGCGGAAUUGGCAGACGCGCUAGACUUAGGAUCUAGUGUCAACGACGUGAAGGUUCAAGUCCUUUCAGCCGCACCA
rnacentral:tRNA from 1 species